UCUUCAUUCACUACUAAAUUGGCUCCUUCUAACUUUCCUGUGUCAGCUCAACAGCUCUUACCUUCUGAGGGCUGGGUUAGGUUAAUGUGAAUAUCCUUUACACUUGUAGCUUUGGAUGUCUCCACUUCAUCCUUUAUUUCUUCAGCUUCAUGGAAGAUCAAAUAUUUAGAGACAUGCUAUGCUGCUGGCUUGGAGGAUGAAUCCUAUAACUUAGGAUGCUUUUAGAUUCUUGGAAUUUUAAACAAAAAGAGUUUAUUGAAGAGUCUCCAAGAAGAAAUGUGGCCUUGCUGAUAUUCUGCUUUCAACUCAGAGAGCCUUGUGGUGUAAAACUGACUGGCUUGUCCUACUCAUGCACAUGAUUAUACUGCUCAAGUCCUUUAUGCCCUGGACAGAGAGUCAGGAGCAACUGAGAGAGAGACUGAAAAUGAGAAGAUAAACUAUGUCUUAUAUGGCUGAAGAUGGUGAUGAGUGGGAGGUCAAUUUCAUUUUACUCAAGAGAAGGCAUUCAACGAAUUACCCACCCAUGGAGAAGGGUAGCACUAUGGUGAGAAACAGGAACUGGAAGGAAACAUUUACUUAGGCUGGCUGAUGUCAUAUCAGGAGGGAAAGAAGAUCACUGGCUCAUCCUGUGCAUCAGGUACUCUGCUGGCUGUAGCAUGCUGUCUCCUGUCAUUGCUAUCUAACCAGGGCUGCCAUUUCACUUGCAGGAGUGGGAUGGAUGUAAGUAGCAGACAGUGUCUUCCUCAGGAAGGAAUAUACUUAGAGAUGGUAGUUUA
rnacentral:lncRNA from 1 species